UACAAGCAUACAUCCCAGGA
rnacentral:misc_RNA from 1 species